rnacentral:pre_miRNA from 1 species
CAUGUACUCCCUCCGUUCGGAAUUACUUGUCGUAGAAAUGGAUGUAUCUAGACGUAUUUUAGUUCUAGAUACAUCCAUUUCCGAGACAAGUAAUUCCGAACGGAGGGAGUAGCAA